AUACAUCGUAGUGUAUAACUCUGAGUACGCUUUUUGUGCAUACGUACUCUUACACGUUUUUUUUUGCGUACUUUUUUUUAUUUGUUGGAAAAUUAAUAAAUGUACCCACAGAAAGCAAGGGCAAAAAGGAGGAUGUUAAGGGAACCAAGGAAGUGGAAUGACGAUCUUGUCAGUAAAAUGCUUGACUAUGUAGAAGAGAAAGGAAAUUUUGAAAUGCCGACUGC